CCUACGGGCGGCAGCAGUGAGGAAUAUUGGUCAAUGGCCGCGAGUCUGAACCAGCCAAGUCGCGUGAGGGAUGACGGUCCUAUGGGUUGUAAACCUCUUUUGUCAGGGAGCAAAGUGCGCCACGUGUGGCGUUUUGCGAGUACCUUACGAAAAAGCAUCGGCUAACUCCGUGCCAGCAGCCGCGGUAAUACGGAGGAUGCGAGCGUUAUCCGGAUUUAUUGGGUUUAAAGGGUGCGCAGGCGGAAUGUCAAGUCAGCGGUAAAAUUUCGGGGCUCAACCCCGUCGUGCCGUUGAAACUGGUGGUCUUGAGUGAGCGAGAAGUAGGCGGAAUGCGUGGUGUAGCGGUGAAAUGCAUAGAUAUCACGCAGAACUCCGAUUGCGAAGGCAGCAUACCGGCGCUCAACUGACGCUCAUGCACGAAAGCGUGGGUAUCGAACAGGAUUAGAUACCCGUGUAGUC
rnacentral:rRNA from 1 species